UUUUGUUUGGCCAGGCAGUGUAAUGUCUGUGGGAGAAAGCUUCAGGGAAAUAUUGCUUUUACUGAAGAUACAAACGGCUUCUCUGCUUCUGCCUGCACGGAUGUUCAUGGAUCAAUUGGUGCCAUUUUGGGUGUUUGGCAGAGUGGAUGAAGAGCGUUAUACGAGAGGAGGGUUUUCGUUCGUGCAAAAACACUCGGAGACAGCCAACGCCUCAUCUGUAUCUUCUCAGCUAGUGCACACAGCUCUUUGAGCUCUUCGUCUGUUCACAAGGGGCCAAGUAGUCCUUCAGCAGAUCUAGACAACCGCCCUGCUGAGGCAAAAGAGCUUGACUGAUGAAUCAGUUCACCCCACGUGGAUGAUGGGGGUUGGGUCUGAGCCUACCGAUACGUAUCAGCGUCCCGAUGAUCCUGCAGUAAAAUGUUCACAGCUGCUCUCUCCCUCUCUCUUUGUUAAUCAGUCCGUGUGCCUGACUGCUGAGUGUGGCGCUUUAGCGGUGCACAAUUAAUCAGAUGCUUCAUUGUGGAGGCAAAACCAAAGAGACAUUCAGCAGUGGGGCAGUGUGAUUACACAUCAAAUGCAAAUUCUCCACCAAUCCCACGGUCCCCUCCUUUUUCCUCUGCAGUAGAUAACAGGAAAAGCUGCCACUGAUGCUGUUAAAAGGUGCUCCUUCAAGUUGACGGCAGCUAAAGAUCUAGUCAUUAAGCAGAGUUCAUUUACCAGGAGGAACGGCAGAGUCGGCAGAGAGUCUUAGAUUUCACAAUAAGAGCUUUAAAGAGCACUUAGUUCAGGUGAAGCUUCUUCUGUAAUACUACAUUUCACAUGGACAUAUU